rnacentral:misc_RNA from 1 species
GAUGAAGAACGUAGCGAAAUGCGAUAAGUAAUGCGAAUUGCAGAAUCCGUGAGUCAUCGAAUCUUUGAACGCACAUUGCGCCCUUUGGUAUUCCGAAGGGCAUGCCUGUUCGAGCGUCAUUAUCACCCCUCAAGCCCCGGCUUGGUGUUGGGCUCUCGGUGGUCGUCUCCGACCACCCGUCUCAAAGAUAGUGACGGCGUCCCAGAGGGAACCGGUACGAGGAGCUUUCACGAGCAUGUACGCGGGACGACUCUGCGGGCGACGGUCUUAUUUACUUUAUAUACAAGUGUUGACCACGGAUCAGGUAGGAAUACCCGCUGAACUUAAGCAUAUCAAACGGAGGA